CAAAAACAUAGCCUUUAGCAACCAAGUAUUAAAGGUAACGCCUGCCCAGUGAACUUAAACGGCCGCGGUAUCCUACCGUGCAAAGGUAGCGUAAUCACUUGUCUUAUAAAUAAAGCCUGUAUGAACGGCUAAAUGAAUAUUUAACUGUCUCCUCUGACUAAUUAGUGAAACUGAUCUUUCAGUACAAAAGCUGAAAUAAUUAAAUAAGACGAGAAGACCCUGUGGAGCUUUAAGUUAUUAUCAAAAAAUUUUCACAAAAAAUUCUUAUGAGAGUAAACUUUUAGUUGGGGCGACUUUGGAGUAAAACAGAACCUCCAAGAAAAGGCACCGCCUAAAUAGGACAACAAGCCAAAACAAUAAGACCCAGUACCACUGAUCAACGAACCAAGUUACCCCAGGGAUAACAGCGCCAUCUUCUUCAAGAGUCACAUCGACAAGAAGUUUACGACCUCGAUGUUGGUCAGGACACCCAAAUGGUGUAGCGCUAUUAAAGGUCGUUGUUCACGAUUAAUAGUCCUACGUGAUCUGAGUCAGACCGGAGC
rnacentral:rRNA from 1 species